AUACUUAAUUGGCUGGGGGAAUCCAUGGUCACGAAGGGGAUGUUCCCAGGGCAAAGCUUAUCCAUUCCACUCUGGAGGUGCUGACUGCUGCACUUCCUCAAAGGUGGGAAAAUAGGCAGCAGAGUUUGUAGUAGGGGACUGUGUUCAUGCUCUCCUCUG